rnacentral:lncRNA from 1 species
AGCGUGAAGCCAAAAGAGAGAUAAAGUUGUAACAUUGGUUUUAAUCUUACGAUAGAGAUUUUGUGUCCAACAGGUGAAUCACAAGAGAAGGGGAUUCACUCAGUACAACCAGGAGACUGGGCGUGGAUCCAGUCCCUGAGGAGAAAAGACGGGAAGCAGCCCCGUUGGGAAGGCCCAUACCAGGUGCUGUUAAACCAUUGCCUUUGCCAUUAGAAAAGCUGAGAGAGUCACUUGGGUCCACGUUAUCCACUGCAAGAAGGUAUGUACACAUAUGACCACUGCUGAUCACACACAGAGUUAGGAGAAGAACCGAGUACCAACAGGGUCCGGGGGCUACCUCCUUAAAACCUGUUAGGGCUAGGGGGCAGUAUUGACACGGCCGGAUAAAAAACGUACCCGAUUUAAUCUGGUUACUACUCCUGUCCAGUAACUAGAAUAUGCAUAUAAUUAUUGGCUUUGGAUAGAAAACACCCUAAAGUUUCUAAAACUGUUUGAAUGGUGUCUGUGAGUAUAACAGAACUCAUAUGGCAGGCCAAAACCUGAGAAGAUUCCAUGCAGGAAGUGGCCUGUCUGACAAGUUGUUUCAUCUUGGCUCUUUUUAUUGAAGACUGAGGAUCUUUGCUAUAACGUGACACUUCCUACGGCUCCCAUAGGCUCUCAGAGCCCGGGAAAAAGCUGAACGAUAUCGAGGCAGGCUCUUGCUGAAACACAUUAUCGCUUUUGGCAAGUGGCCGAUCAGAGUACUAUGGGCUUAGGCGCAUGACCGAGUCGACCCCAUGCUUUAUUUUCUUUCGUCUGUUUACCUAAACACAGAUUCCCGGUCGGAAUAUUAUCGCUUUUUUAUGAAAAAAAUUGCAUAAAAAUUGAUUUUAAACAGCGGUUGACAUGCUUCGAAGUACGGUAAUGGAAUAUUUAGAAAUUUUUUGUCACGAAUUGCGCCAUGCUCGUCACCCUUAUUUACCCUUUGUUCGUGUCUUGAACGCACGAACAAAACGCCGCAAUUUGGAUAUAACAAUGGAUUAUUUGGGACCAAACCAACAUUUGUUAUUGAAGUAGAAGUCCUGGGAGUGCAUUCUGACGAAGACAGCAAAGGUAAUAACAUUUUUCUUAUAGUAGUAAAUCUGACUUUGGUGAGUGCUAAACUUGCUGGGUGUCUAAAUAGCUAGCCAUGUGAUGCCGGGCUAUCUACUGAGAAUAUUGCAAAAUGUGCUUUCACCGAAAAGCUAUUUUAAAAUCGGACAUAUCGAGUGCAUAGAGGAGUUCUGUAUCUAUAAUUCUUAAAAUAAUUGUUAUGCUUUUUGUGAACGUUUAUCGUGAGUAAUUUAGUAAAUUCACCGGCAGUGUUCGGUGGGAAUGCUAGUCACCUGCUAGUCACAUGCUAAUGUAAAAACCUGUUUUUUGAUAUAAAUAUGAACUUGAUUGAACUUGAUUGAACAAAACAUGCAUGUAUUGUAUAACAUAAUGUCCUAGGGUCGUCAUCUGAUGAAGAUCAUCAAAGGUUAGUGCUGCAUUUAGCUGUGGUUUGGGUUUAUGUGACAUUAUAUGCUAGCUUGAAAAAUGGGUGUCUGAUUAUUUCUGGCUGGGUACUCUGCUGACAUAAUCUAAUGUUUUGCUUUCGUUGUAAAGCCUUUUUGAAAUCGGACAGUGUGGUUAGAUUAACGAGUGUCUUGUCUUUAAAAUGUUGUAAAAUAGUCAUAUGUUUGAAAAAUUUAUGUUUUUGCAUUUUUGAGGUAUUUGAAUAACGCGCCACGGGAUUACACUGGCUGUUGAGUAGGUGGGACGCAAGCGUCCCACCUAGCCCAUAGAGGUUAACGAAGAUUUCCUAUCCCGACCGUUCAUCACUGUUUGUGCUCCUAGAGGUGUGAGUAUGGGGUGGUACCUAGCAGAGAGACUUAGGGUCUGGAGAAGGUUUGCGGUUUUUGGGAAGAGUAGAGACUCUGAGCUGCAUCAUAGUCUAAUCUUUCUGAUACAUUCAGAUCCACCACCUUCUGGUACUAAUCAUACAAUACCGUUGUCAUUGAGAAAAAGUAGAAGAUAAACUAUAUAAUACACUGAUGAGUGACUUACAGAAUGAGGAGUCAAAGAAGAUCAAGAUGUAGGAUUUAAAGUAAACAUUAAACAACUUCCUGGGAAAGCAGACAACUGUACAGGGACUGGGUGGGUCAGAUUGAAGUGCUCGGCCAACCCACCUAGGUUCACUUAAAUUCCUGAUGAGCACCAGUGUUAUAAAUACAAGAAUGGCACCGAGAACUUGGAUGAUUUUAAUAGCUGGAAAGUAAUUGUUAAUGUGACUGACUUAGGUUUGAAAGAUGAAUAGAAAAUUCUUAACCUCACAGCACCUAUAACUGAUGUAGGGUGGGCUAUUACCAGCAAAGGACGCAUACAACAGAAAUGACCACAAAGGGUGGUUAGGAACUUGCGCCCAGGGGUUAUUGGUCCAACCAGUUCGAAUUAGUUAUCAGAGGCCAGUUAUAGGAGGCUAAAGUAGGCACAGGAGGAGUUUUGACCAGGAUGGGAGUAGCUUUAUGUAGAUGGAUGCUAUUGGCAUCCUCAGGGAAGUUCCAGAAGAAUACAAAGCUAUGAAUCAAAUAUGUGAAGGCUUUAACACUACAUUAUUUUGGUGGUUGACAAUAAAUACAAAUGUGGAUUGAAUUAAUGACAUCUUUUAUAAUCAACAGAGAUUCAUGAAUGAAACCGGGGAUGCAGUAAAGAGGUUCUCUGACCAAUUAUCCGCCACCUCCCUCAUGACCUGGUAAAAUAGACUGACUCUCGAUAUGUUAUUGGCAAAAGAGGAUGGUGUAGGUAGAAUGAUUAGGUUCAUUGCUGUACGUACAUUCCUGAUAACACAGCUCAUGUUUGUGAAAUGGAAAAGUGUUGUAAGAACUGUAUUAUGGGCUGCUUUCACCUGUAUGAGGUUUAAUCACCAGAACUCUAGAGAGAUCGAUAACGGAGCAAAUAGUGAGAUACAGAUCGAGUCAAAGUUCAGACCAAUGGGAUGACAAAUACCUACCGCCGAGCCAGGUGGAGGAUUCAUUCAAUUAUGAGGAGCCCAUGUUAGAUGAGACCAUCUUUAGAGUUUCCUGAAUUAGUUUGAUUUUGUGUGAAAUUUCUGAAUCCAAUAAAAAUAGAUGUGUUAUAAUGUAUGUGAAAUAUCUAGCAAAACGGGUGGAUUGUAAUGGAAAUUAUAUGAUUUUAAGCCCUACUGGGACUUGACAAGCUAUCUGCUGAAAUGAAGGGUGUAGCGGGGGUAGACGAGGGGAAUUGGAUGAAUAACUUUUUUGGCAAGUAUACAUCUAGGGUGGUUACUGGAUUUCUGACCCUAGUGCUUGUGUUCCUAUUAUUGAUAUGUUGUGCUGCUUGUAUAAUCCCUUGAUUAAGAAAGUCUUUCACAGAUGUUGUCAGAGCAACCUCUGGGCAAAAGAUGGGUCUGUUUGAGGACGAUCCUUGGUUUGCUGUUGAGGAAGUGGUUGAAUAAAGCUUAUCCAAAAUGUUCUCAUAUGUAUUGAAUGUAGUGGCAGGUGGAUGAGAAGGUUUUAAGUUCUGAGACAAAGAGUCUGUCCCACACAUGUUAGGUGUAGCCACUGCCGCAAGAAGGUCUUCUUUUUAUACGUUUUUUAAAUAAUAUGUUCUGAAUUUAUCCUGUAUACUAUUUGUCUUUCCUUAUGUGAAGGUUUGAAGUUCCUGGGUGACUGGUAGUCAACCUAGUACAAGUGAGGUGUAGCUGGAAGGAUGUGAGGGUUUUUAACUAAUUAUCUAAUCAUUAAAAUGGAGAUAUACAAAUUGUGUUGAGUGACACCCUAAGGGGUGUCAAAAGGGGGAAUCCUACAUUUCUCUGAAAUGUCUUAUUGGAGUAUGUUCACACCCCAGGGGGUGUGAAAGGGGGGAUUGUUAGGGUUGAACUGGCUAUUUGUUUGCAUAACCUAUAUAAUAUAACGGAGAAGCUAUGCUACAAUAUUAAGUAUAUAAACUAUGGAUAAGUCAACUGCUGAAGACAAGAACUACACCCGGCAACAGGAAGUGCGUCACGAGGUUGGGACCAGCCUGCACGC